rnacentral:rRNA from 1 species
UCGAGGGGCAGCACGGUGUUGCAAUACAUUGGUGGCGACCGGCGCACGGGUGCGUAACACGUAUGCAAUCUUCCCUUCACUGGGGGAUAGCCCGGAGAAAUCCGGAUUACUACCCCAUAUCAGUUCGAGUGGCAUCACUUGGAUUUGAAAGUUCCGACGGUGAAGGAUGAGCAUGCGCCCGAUUAGCUAGUUGGUGAGGUAAUGGCUCACCAAGGCUACGAUCGGUAGGGGGCCUGAGAGGGUUAUCCCCCACACUGGUACUGAGACACGGACCAGACUCCUACGGGAGGCAGCAGUGAGGAAUAUUGCGCAAUGGAGGAAACUCUGACGCAGCCAUGCCGCGUGCAGGAAGAAGGCGCUACGCGUUGUAAACUGUUUUUAACCGGGAAGAAACCCCUCGACGUGUCGAGGGUUGACGGUACCGGAGGAAUAAGCACCGGCUAACUUCGUGCCAGCAGCCGCGGUAAUACGAAGGGUGCAAGCGUUAUCCGGAUUCAUUGGGUUUAAAGGGUGCGUAGGCGGAGCGGUAAGUCAGUGGUGAAAUCCUGCAGCUCAACUGUAGAAUUGCCAUUGAUACUGCCGUUCUUGAGUACGCUCGACGUGGGCGGAAUGUCCCGUGUAGCGGUGAAAUGCUUAGAUAUGGCACAGAACACCGAUAGUGAAGACAGCUCACGAGGUCGAAACUGACGCUGAGGCACGAAAUCGUGGGACGAACAG